UACGUAGGGUGCAAGCGUUAUCCGGCAUUAUUGGGCGUAAAGCGCUCGUAGGCGGUUUGUCGCGUCUGCUGUGAAAACUGGAGGCUCAACCUCCGGCCUGCAGUGGGUACGGGCAGACUAGAGUGCGGUAGGGGAGAUUGGAAUUCCUGGUGUAGCGGUGGAAUGCGCAGAUAUCAGGAGGAACACCGAUGGCGAAGGCAGAUCUCUGGGCCGUAACUGACGCUGAGGAGCGAAAGCAUGGGGAGCGAACAGG
rnacentral:rRNA from 1 species